CUCCUGUAUUUGCUUGAUAUUAUUUCAAAAUAUGAUUUAUCACAAAUGUAAAUGUAUAUAGAGAUUUGUUUUUAUACAAUUUAAAUUUGAUUUUCCAUCUUAAAUACAAAUUCUAACAGAGAUUCGCUUGUUUCAAAAAAGCCAUUAUUUCUUUCACACUGCACUAAACAUAACACAACAUAAUUCAACACAAUUUAAUUUCAACAAUGAAAUUUGCAUUUUUGCAUCAGAGUUUUUAAACGUGUGUUGUUAUAUAGAUUUCACAAUUCUUGCAUUUUAUACUCCAAUAAUACAUCUAUUGUUUGUUUUAUUAUAUGUUUUAAAUGUAUGAAUUAUAAAUUAUUACACACAUUUAAAUGUAAUCAAUCAGACACUUGAUUGAAAAUUAAAUACCUUUUUUUAAAAUAAUAUAAAUUAACGAUCAUACUUUACGUCAUAUAUAAACAGUUUGGGAAAAUGUUAUUUACCUGUACAUAUUUUUUCAAAGAAGCAUUUACUGGUAACAUUUUUCUUGUCAUUUGAAAUUUAGUAACAAUUUCAUUCUAAUUUUUUUAAUCUCAUAUUUUAUCACACCAUUAACUGCUAUCUAUUUUGUCUUAAGCAUAGUUUAUAUGUACAAAUUUAUUGCUACUUAUUUGAAUAUCAAAUAUGAUCUGUUGUUCAAAAACCAGCAGAUGGUGUAGAAUUACUGAGAUGAUCAAAUCCUAAAUAUUUGUACAUCACUAAUAUUUGCAGAAAAAAAGAAUAACUAUGUUGGUCAGCGAGAUUUAAACAGGUUUUCUGAGAUUGAGCUUUUCUUGUGUAACAAUGGCUGCAGAUGAAUUCUCCUAUUUUAGUUUUUGAAAAACUAACAUCUAAAGCCUGUAACAAUAGAAGCUGGCUUUUAAAAUAUUUUCAGUAUCUACAAUAAAACAACAGAAGGAAAGUAAAUGUUUGUUCUUACCUGUUACAUAGAGUUUAGUUCCAGAGCCAAAGAUGUUUCCCACAAAACCCAACAGGAGCAGUAAUAGGUGGCUGAAUGAUCGGAUUUCACUUGUUUAAUCUCUAACGCCCAGCCUUCAUUUGUAUUUACAGAAGAGAAGUCAUCGAGCUGAGGAUGAGAAGAGUAACUUCUAUCUAUGUCACCAUUAUUUUUAUUAAUAUCAAAAAUAAAUUUGAAUGGUUCUCUGUCUUUCUUCUGGUACCAGAGUAUGUAUGCACCACACUGUUCAGUCCCUCCACAGCUGAAGGAGACGUUGUCUCCAACUGUCCUGGUCAAUGUUAAAUCAUCCUGAAUCAGCUGUUCUGCUGCCAUGGUAACCAGUGCUGUAGAGACACAG
ensembl:lncRNA